rnacentral:misc_RNA from 1 species
AAAGUCGUAACAAGGUUUCCGUAGGUGAACCUGCGGAAGGAUCAUUACAGAAUGAACUUGGCGGAUUGUCGCUGGCCUCCUCCGGGAGUGCAUGUGCACGUCUGUCAUUUCCAUCUUACCACCUGUGCACACUUUGUAGAUCUGGAGGCGUCUUCACGGACUUUGUCUGUGGUUUUUGGGAGCUGUCUCACGACUCUCCCUGGCCUUUUCAGGUCUACGUUUUUACAUCUACUCCAUAGCAUGUAAAAGAAUGAAUCUAUGGCAGCCUCGUGCAGCCUAUAAAACUUGUACAACUUUCAGCAACGGAUCUCUUGGCUCUC